AUGAAAGGAGAGAAGAAUCGGGGAGCGACAAAAGUUGCAAGAAUCUGCUCACUUUCAGGAAAGAAAUUUGUCUUCCUUUUCAACAUUGAUCCCUCACUUUUUUCAUCUUUCUUUUUCACCUUUCUCUUCAUCUGU
rnacentral:ribozyme from 13 species